UUAAGCGACUAAGCGUACACGGUGGAUGCCCUGGCAGUCAGAGGCGAUGAAGGACGUGCUAAUCUGCGAAAAGCGUCGGUAAGGUGAUAUGAACCGUUAUAACCGGCGAUGUCCGAAUGGGGAAACCCAGUGUGAUUCGUCACACUAUCGUUAACUGAAUACAUAGGUUAACGAGGCGAACCGGGGGAACUGAAACAUCUAAGUACCCCGAGGAAAAGAAAUCAACCGAGAUUCCCCCAGUAGCGGCGAGCGAACGGGGAGCAGCCCAGAGUCUGAAUCAGCUUGUGUGUUAGUGGAACGGUCUGGAAAGUCCGACGGUACAGGGUGAUAGUCCCGUACACCAAAAUGCACAGGUUGUGAACUCGAAGAGUAGGGCGGGACACGUGGUAUCCUGUCUGAAUAUGGGGGGACCAUCCUCCAAGGCUAAAUACUCCUGACUGACCGAUAGUGAACCAGUACCGUGAGGGAAAGGCGAAAAGAACCCCGGCGAGGGGAGUGAAAAAGAACCUGAAACCGUGUACGUACAAGCAGUGGGAGCACCUUCGGGUGUGACUGCGUACCUUUUGUAUAAUGGGUCAGCGACUUAUAUUCUGUAGCAAGGUUAACCGUAUAGGGGAGCCGCAGGGAAACCGAGUCUUAACUGGGCGUUAAGUUGCAGGGUAUAGACCCGAAACCCGGUGAUCUAGCCAUGGGCAGGUUGAAGGUUGGGUAACACUAACUGGAGGACCGAACCGACUAAUGUUGAAAAAUUAGCGGAUGACUUGUGGCUGGGGGUGAAAGGCCAAUCAAACCGGGAGAUAGCUGGUUCUCCCCGAAAGCUAUUUAGGUAGCGCCUCGUGAACUCAUCUUCGGGGGUAGAGCACUGUUUCGGCUAGGGGGUCAUCCCGACUUACCAACCCGAUGCAAACUACGAAUACCGAAGAAUGUUAUCACGGGAGACACACGGCGGGUGCUAACGUCCGUCGUGAAGAGGGAAACAACCCAGACCGCCAGCUAAGGUCCCAAAGUCAUGGUUAAGUGGGAAACGAUGUGGGAAGGCACAGACAGCCAGGAUGUUGGCUUAGAAGCAGCCAUCAUUUAAAGAAAGCGUAAUAGCUCACUGGUCGAGUCGGCCUGCGCGGAAGAUGUAACGGGGCUAAACCAUGCACCGAAGCUGCGGCAGCGACACUAUGUGUUGUUGGGUAGGGGAGCGUUCUGUAAGCCUGCGAAGGUGUGCUGUGAGGCAUGCUGGAGGUAUCAGAAGUGCGAAUGCUGACAUAAGUAACGAUAAAGCGGGUGAAAAGCCCGCUCGCCGGAAGACCAAGGGUUCCUGUCCAACGUUAAUCGGGGCAGGGUGAGUCGACCCCUAAGGCGAGGCCGAAAGGCGUAGUCGAUGGGAAACAGGUUAAUAUUCCUGUACUUGGUGUUACUGCGAAGGGGGGACGGAGAAGGCUAUGUUAGCCGGGCGACGGUUGUCCCGGUUUAAGCAUGUAGGCUGGUUGUCCAGGCAAAUCCGGAUAAUCAAGGCUGAGGUGUGAUGACGAGGCACUACGGUGCUGAAGUAACAAAUGCCCUGCUUCCAGGAAAAGCCUCUAAGCAUCAGGUAACAUCAAAUCGUACCCCAAACCGACACAGGUGGUCAGGUAGAGAAUACCAAGGCGCUUGAGAGAACUCGGGUGAAGGAACUAGGCAAAAUGGUGCCGUAACUUCGGGAGAAGGCACGCUGGUGUGUAGGUGAAGNUGGAGCUGAGACCAGUCGAAGAUACCAGCUGGCUGCAACUGUUUAUUAAAAACACAGCACUGUGCAAACACGAAAGUGGACGUAUACGGUGUGACGCCUGCCCGGUGCCGGAAGGUUAAUUGAUGGGGUUAUCCGUAAGGAGAAGCUCUUGAUCGAAGCCCCGGUAAACGGCGGCCGUAACUAUAACGGUCCUAAGGUAGCGAAAUUCCUUGUCGGGUAAGUUCCGACCUGCACGAAUGGCGUAAUGAUGGCCAGGCUGUCUCCACCCGAGACUCAGUGAAAUUGAACUCGCUGUGAAGAUGCAGUGUACCCGCGGCAAGACGGAAAGACCCCGUGAACCUUUACUAUAGCUUGACACUGAACAUUGAGCCUUGAUGUGUAGGAUAGGUGGGAGGCUUUGAAGCGUGGACGCCAGUCUGCGUGGAGCCAACCUUGAAAUACCACCCUUUAAUGUUUGAUGUUCUAACGUUGGCCCCUGACCGGGGUUGCGGACAGUGUCUGGUGGGUAGUUUGACUGGGGCGGUCUCCUCCCAAAGCGUAACGGAGGAGCACGAAGGUUAGCUAAUCCUGGUCGGACAUCAGGAGGUUAGUGCAAUGGCAUAAGCUAGCUUGACUGCGAGCGUGACGGCGCGAGCAGGUGCGAAAGCAGGUCAUAGUGAUCCGGUGGUUCUGAAUGGAAGGGCCAUCGCUCAACGGAUAAAAGGUACUCCGGGGAUAACAGGCUGAUACCGCCCAAGAGUUCAUAUCGACGGCGGUGUUUGGCACCUCGAUGUCGGCUCAUCACAUCCUGGGGCUGAAGUAGGUCCCAAGGGUAUGGCUGUUCGCCAUUUAAAGUGGUACGCGAGCUGGGUUUAGAACGUCGUGAGACAGUUCGGUCCCUAUCUGCCGUGGGCGCUGGAGAAUUGAGGGGGGCUGCUCCUAGUACGAGAGGACCGGAGUGGACGCAUCACUGGUGUUCGGGUUGUCAUGCCAAUGGCACUGCCCGGUAGCUAAAUGCGGAAGAGAUAAGUGCUGAAAGCAUCUAAGCACGAAACUUGCCCCGAGAUGAGUUCUCCCUGAGACUUUAAGUCUCCUGAAGGAACGUU
rnacentral:rRNA from 1 species